rnacentral:rRNA from 1 species
UACGUAGGGGGCAAGCGUUGUCCGGAAUUAUUGGGCGUAAAGAGCGCGUAGGCGGUCCGAUAAGUCGGCUGUGAAAGUCCAGGGCUCAACCCUGGAAAGCCGGCCGAUACUGUCGGACUAGAGUCCGGAAGAGGCGAGUGGAAUUCCCGGUGUAGCGGUGAAAUGCGCAGAUAUCGGGAGGAACACCCGUGGCUAAGGCGGCUCUCUAGUACGGUACUGACGCUGAGACGCGAAAGCGUGGGGAGCGAACAGG